UCCUUGGUGGCUCAGUCAGUAAAGAAUCUGCCUGUAAUGCAGGAGACCUGGGUUCGAUCCCUGGGUCAGGAA
rnacentral:tRNA from 1 species